rnacentral:tRNA from 1 species
GGGGUUGGGCCUAGCUCAGUGAAAGAGCACAUGUUUAGCAUGCAUGGGGUCCUGGGUUCGAUCCCCAGCACCUCCA